rnacentral:lncRNA from 1 species
GUUUUCUGGCAGAAACCUGUUCAUCAGGUUUGCCCCCAACCCUCCCUUGCCCUCCACCUUACACCCAUCAAGUGAUACAAUAGAAAUAUCUACAAGUUCCUGGUUUUCCGGUCAGGUAAACACACUUCUUUGUCCUGACCAGGAGCACAGUCCAUUCCUGGAGGGUCUGCUAUUGUCUGUGGGAUGGCUACCUGUCUGACACCCAUCUGCUAGGAUGCCAGUGAUUAUCUCUUGUGCAAGAGUGUACGUGAUCCCAGGUUUCAGGGAUUAUGGCUCCCCACAUCCCAGACUCCACACCUUGGUAGCCAUUCCUUUCCUGAGCACAACAAUGUUGGAAUGGUGCAAAUCCAUACUGGAGUGAUUUUAUAUGACUUUCGUAAGUUGUGGGGACAUUUGCAGGAGUGAUUGUGUUGAUUUGGGAGGGGUAUGAUGUCUGCUGAAGGGGCAACCCCCCCAACCUUUACAUAAAUUCUGGUAACAAGGGGAAAGUGAGCGGACGCUCCAAGUGUCCUUAUUUUCCAGGGACACCCCCAAUUUAGAGAAGCCAUCCCAGUUUCUGAUUUGAUCCUGGAAUGUCCCACUUUUCCUUAGGUAAAGGUAAAGGGACCCCUGACCAUUAGGUCCAGUCAUGACCGACUCUGGGGUUGCGGCGCUCAUCUCGCUUUACUGGCCGAGGGAGCCGGCAUACAGCUUCCGGGUCAUGUGGCCAGCAUGACUAAGCCGCUUCUGGAGAACCAGAGCAGCACACGGAAACGCCAUUUACCUUCCUGCCGGAGCGGUACCUAUUUAUCUACUUGCACUUUGAGGUGCUUUCGAACUGCUAGGUUGGCACGAGCAGGGACCGAGCAACGGGAGCUCACCCCAUCAUGGGGAUUCGAACCGCCGACCUUCUGAUCGGCAAGUCCUAGGCUCUGUGGUUUAACCCACAGCGCCACCUGCGUCCCACUUUUCCUUAGGAUGUCUUUAUUUUCAUUGGAGAAGUGUCGGAGGGUAUGGAGUUAUCCGACCCCCGAGCCAUCUGAAGGUAGUCCUGUAUAGGGAAGUUUUUUAAAUGCUUAAUGCUUUAUUAUGGUUUUUAUAUAAGUUGGAAGCUGCCCAGAGUGGCUGGGGCAACCCAGUAAGAUGUGUGGGCUAUAAUUAGUACAAUUAUCAUGAUGGAAUGGGACAUCGGAGAAAUGUUGGAGGGUAUGAAGAAAGCAGUUCACUGAUUUUAAAAACGUGUAUGGCUGAGAGCCCCUUUCUUCCCCCAUACCCUCUGAUCUUUAAGAUAAAACAUAUGUAGCUAAUGCGAUUAUUUUCCAACCCGUCUCUAUGCAAUACCAAAAUACAGUGGCUCCUUAUUUUUUCUAGCCGGCGCUGUUUUUAUUCACAAGUCCUUGCCACAGAAUCUAGUUCUUGUCCUGAAGGAUUUCUGAAGCACGGCAAAGCGGCCAGUUGAAAAUCUGACAGAAUAUUUACUGCACCAAGAAAAACUCAAGCCAAUCAACUCCUCCCUUCUCAUUUCCCUCCAUUUCAAGGACUUUCCUCGUCUUUCCCCUUCAGCAAUACCUGACAUAGCUUAGAGAGAAUGCCAGAAAGAAUGACUAUAUGAAGAAGGAAUUCUUGGUGCCUUGCAGCUCCCACCAACAUAUUUCCUGUUUCUUUGUCUGACUAGAAUUUUUUUGAAAAAAAGGGGGGCACAUUGCCUUAAAUGUCAAGAGGAGGUUUGCCUGUGAUUUUCUGACUCAUUUCCUAGUUUCCUGUCCUCA